UGACCCAUCAUAAAUAACUGGCCACAAUAAUGUCACAUCCGGAUUUAGGGGUCCAAACUCGGGUGCGGCUCACACGUGUGAUGGAAUCAAGUCUCAUACAUAUGAUGACUCAUGGUACAGAAACGAAUGUCACAUCAUUAAUAUAUAACAAAGUUUUGUACAAAAUAGUUAAAUAAUUAAAUUAUACGAAGACAAUGAUCUAGCAACCAAAGUUGACCGGGAGACGACGGCCUAGACCUCUCACGAACAUCAUCGCGACAUCCUUCAUGCGCCUCAUCCUGCGGUGCCUAUUCUUGACCUGGGGGAUGUGAGUACAACAAGGGUGAGCUCACAUACGUUAAUCGCUCAACAAGUUGUGGGGAAUAAUAUGCAUGAACUCACCAAAGGUGGGAGCUCAUGUGAAGUGUAAGGCUUACCAAAGGAGAUGGUUAAAGUUGAGCAUUGUUUUUAGAGUUGGUCAAAAUUUUAUUAGCAGUUACUAAGUAUAAGUAGAUACCAACCCAAAUAAGAAAGAGAUCAAAAUUGAUAAUAACACCCGCGAUGCAAUGGAUAUGACAUAUUAAGUUUAGUUCUAUAAAUUAAUCAUGCGAGAGUCUUGAGUCACUCUUGACCGUGAGCACGACUGAUAUACCAAAUUUACACUCUGCAGAGGUUGCACUUCUUUACCCACAAGUCGUGUUACCCAUUUGCCACGGGGUUGUACGGACUCCAUACACCUCUACCAAGGAAGCGAGGCAAGGUAGCACUACAAGACCUUUCCAAAGUUCCACUAGUUCGAGAGUACCCACUACGGUUUCAGGACAAAGGAAGCAUAUGAAUCCAUCGUCCGAACUACCAUCGCAGCAGUUCAACCCGAGAACCUCCCUAUACUCUGUAGUGACGCCUCCCCGCUUACCCCAUUCGAGUAAGGUAAUCUCUCCCUAGCUUUUCUAAUUACUUGGCCAAGAGCGUCCCAUUCCACCCUUGUGGUACACUGUUAUCUCAAGUUAAGCUCCAUUUCCAAUUAACACAAUGAUCUUGUCAUGAACAAUAAUUAAAACAACAAUAUAAUUGGAACAUGAUCAUAAUUAAAAUAUAGCAUUAAUCCCAAAACCAGAUAGAGCAAUAGCAACACUACCCAAUAGUUCAUUUGUUUGCAAGGUGGGGGAUAAACAAUACUAGGGAAACCUAUUAGGUCCCAUCAAAUUAACCUGAGCAUGUCACAGUGAUUACCAAAGAACAUUAUUAGGUAGAUAAAAGUGAUCAAGGGCACAACUUGCCUUAGACUUGAGAUUCCAAGGUACCAACUUGGUCUUCAAGUGACUCGUAAACCUCGCUGAUACUCGUAGCAAUACAAACAGACAUAGUAUAGGAAAAUAUUAACAUCAUACCAAACAUGAGAACAUACCGCUUAAUAAUGAUCUACGCUUCGCAACUAGAUCAUAGGUUCGAGAACCACUAAAUUCGGAGUUACGGUUAUAAAGUUAUGAUUUUUCGAUGAUUUAAGUGUUUAAUAUAAAACAAAUUAAGUGCAUGACUUUGACCAUAUAUUUCAUAGUAUUAUAAGUUUACUAGAUGGUAAACAAUAUUAAUAUAAGACUAAUGCAACCGGAAUGGAUCUAAAACGAGUUAAAAUGAAUUAAAUAUGGAUUAAACAAGUUUAUGUAAUUAUUUUUAUACUAAAAAUCAUUUCCUAUAUUAAUUUAGCUAAUUUAUUAAAUCCUUGGAUUGCGCACAUAAAUUCUAGAAAGCUCGGGUCCUAUUCAUAAAUAUUAGGACUCAGCUGCAAUUACUUUCUAACUGAUGUGGAUGAGGGGUUUAUUUUAUAAAAACUCAGGGGCUCUUACGCAAAAUGGCACGACCGAAAGGGUGUCGGUUGAUCAGAUCCGUCCGAUCGACUCCGGACGCUCCAGAUUAAAUCAAGUAUUAGACCGAACCGGUACGCAGUCGCGGCCAUCAGAUCGACGAUCAAUGACCCAGUUUUAAUGAGACGCGAUCUACACCACACCGUCCAUUGCCCGAUUUGACGCCCAGGAUCACAGGCAUCGAAGAGGUAUCUUUGACCAGAUCUGAACUAUCCAUCUACGGAUCGAAGGCCAGACCGUUGUCUUCCCCAGCCAACACCAGACCCAGCGACGCAAUGCCCUGCGAUGGUGAACCUCGCAGAGACCGACAAUUCAGCCCAAACCGCGACUAUUCUUGAUUCUGUCAGGUCCCAAACAUAACUCGAUGCAUGGCGAAUCGAUCGGAUCUUCCUAUACUCGAGCGGACAUCUACAGGUUCCCAUCCACAGGGAUGAGCGGGAAACGACGGCUGCAAGAUCCAGUCAAGCGAUUCUGGUCUACGGGGUGGGUUGACACAGACCCAACUUGACGGUGGAAGAUCAAGGGAAGGAGUUGAAUCUCACCGGCGGUAGACGCGCAGAACCCCCGACCACGAUGAGGGGUGGAUUCGUGAUCCAUCCCCACACCGGUGAGCGUUUCAAGGUGCGAUAAUGUUGCUCCCGCCUAUCGACGAUGCCGAGAACUUCGUCAGGAUGCAGGGACGCGACUUCGGCGUGAUUUGCUUAUGGCGGGCGAGGUUCUCUUGUUGCUCCGGUGCGGGCGCAAAAACAUGCACAACGAGCGCCGCAUUUGGGUAUAAAUAGCAGGGUUCUAGCGGAUUUGGCGCGGAGGCGCAUACG
rnacentral:lncRNA from 1 species